UGAGGAAUAUUGGUCAAUGGGCGAGAGCCUGAACCAGCCAAGUCGCGUGAAGGAUGAAGGUUCUAUGGAUUGUAAACUUCUUUUAUUCGAGGGUAAAGUGAGGUACGUGUACCUUAUUGCAAGUAUCGAAUGAAUAAGCAUCGGCUAACUCCGUGCCAGCAGCCGCGGUAAUACGGAGGAUGCAAGCGUUAUCCGGAUUUAUUGGGUUUAAAGGGUGCGUAGGCUGUUCUGCAAGUCAGCGGUGGAAGCCCGGGGCUCAACCCCGGAAAUGCCGUUGAUACUGCGGGGCUGGAAUACGGAUGCCGUGGGAGGAAUGAGUAGUGUAGCGGUGAAAUGCAUAGAUAUUACUCAGAACACCGAUUGCGAAGGCAUCUCACGAAUCCGUUAUUGACGCUGAGGCACGAAAGCGUGGGGAUCAAACAGGAUUAGAUACCCUGGGUAGU
rnacentral:rRNA from 1 species